AAUACGGUGUCAAGGACAGAUCAUCUCAGGUACAUCGUAUGCUUUAAUCCUACCGUUACUAAAUCUUGCUUUAUUUUAAAAUGUAUUGUUUUUUAAUUUCUGUAUGCAUAUAAUGAGUCAACAUUGUUUAAUUUCGAUUUUCAACUGUAACGAAACGGGGUUCUCUGGAAGGAAAUAUCAAAGGUAACUGGACCUAAAGGAGGGCAUGUUUUUCUCAGGCUUGUGACCAAAGCAGACCACAUCACAGCACAUCUGUGUCAGAGAGGAUGGAAGAUUCUUACCAACUAUGGGUUCACUUCCGCACCGGAAAUGCAGUGAUGGCAUACCAGACUCCUAGGGAUUUGCAAUUAGUAAAACGGUAACAUGGACACGCACAAGUUCCAACGCCGGCUCACAUAAACGUUUGUACCAUACUGUGGUCGGGAGCGACCAGUCGUACUUCUAACGGACAACUUCGACGCACGUAUCAGUGGGGAUGUAGUGGAAGCAGCCAUUGCAAAUGAUGUAGUGUUGGUUGGACUUCCAGGACACACCACUCAUAUUCUGCAGCCUCUUGAUGUUAAAACAAAUUAUCGUUCGUUUGUUACUAUUGCUGCUGCAUUGACGGUAAAGCUGGGAUUCGACGGUGCAGGAGUAACUAAUGGCAAAGCAAAAUGUCCAGUUGUUCUGAAGCACGCUAUUCAGAAGGCGACACCAGCAUCGAUUUAGGAUGCAUUCGCUGUGACAGGCAUAUGUCCACACAAUCCAUUAGCUAAACAUACGUCCCUCAUUUGAUCCUCCUUGCGAAGAUAGGAUUUAAAAACGUACAAUAACAAUGACAGUUAUAGUUUAAAAGGAGACUCUAACCGUGUUUUUAAGGGCGCUACUUUGAACCACUCUGCUAUUAAUCUUUUGUGGAAUUAUUAAUGUCUAGUUCAUCUGUCAAGAAAGCUGUCUGGCUUAUAGAUGUUUGGUGUUUCUACCCAGGUAUCAGCCCGUGUCUGGGCUGAAUGCGCGGAUGGACAACAUCUGUCUGUUCCUCAACUACGAAGUCAGUACCUCAACUGCGUUUAGUGUUAACACCCAACAAACAAAUAUUAACUUGUCACACGCAAGUUUUAACCUCUCCUUGCAUCAGUCACUUUGUUUUCUAAUUUUGCAAGAAAACGACGGACAAGUUCAAACAUGUGAAAAAUGUGGUCACUUAACAGAGCCACCAGUGAAACGGGGACUCGUACCACCUAGGCUCGCCAAUAUUCUGUUGCCAUCCCCCGUACAGCCACGCAGCGAGAAAAGAUGGUUGUUGCUUGGGGCCGCUUGAUUAGCGGCGAGUAAAUGCUCAAACAGCUGAAGUUUUAAUUUACACUUUAUAUACAUAAUUAUAUAUGACAUUUAUCAGACUUGUAGUAUAACCUGACUAUUUAUAUUUUUGUCAUACGUACCAAAUUUUCGUUAUAGCUUUCGCCAGUUAUGACUAUAAGCUUCUGUGAUUCAAGUACCUUUUCAUUAACCAUGUCAAGAAUGAUACAGAAAGUAGUUCGGACAGAGGCGAAAUACGAAUCGGAUUUAUAAUUAGGGUAUUAUGGAACUUCAGUUCUGUCAGGUCAGGAAUAAAAAUUACAGGGAAAAAAACACAGACUGAAAAGAAAAAGAAUAGAUGAGAUUGAACAGAGGAAGAAAGACAGGACAUUAACCAGGAGAAACAAAUGAUAGAGGAGAGACGAUUCAAGAGGAAUAGGAGAGAGGAAGAAAGGGAAUUGAAGUUAAAAGGAAAGAAGGGGAAAGCAGAAGAAAGUCAUGAAAGAAAGAAAGGAAAAGAUGUCGGCGCAAAUGUCACUGUGGUUUUAAUGGCCAGUAUGUGUGUUUGUGAUGUGUGCGGUGUACAUGGGUCUGUUGAUGACAAAACAAAUGGAAUACUCUGGUUUGGAUGUGGUGAGGAGUUGUGUGGACGGUGAUUUCAUGAAGCAGGUUUGGCAGAGAAUGAAAGGAUGUAAGUGAAUGAAAACUUUGAAGAAGAUGGAAGUGACUCGCGAAAAAGUGCUGUAAUAUCUUUAUUUCUGGUUCCAUUUUGCUAAAAUUUGAACCAUUGGCGGAUAUGAACAUAUUUAAUGCGAAUAUUUAAUAAUAUUUUAUCUCCUAGGCAACGUCACUACUUCAAAGGCGGUCCAAUGUCAUUAUGCCGCUGUCAUAUCACACACAUUUAAUCAAUACAAUUCCUGAAUACCAUUGGUUCAAUGUUGAUUGCCAUUAAAGGCAUUUUCUACACCUUCGUUAAAAUGAAUAAAUUACUGUUAAAUUACUGUUACAGUUAAGAUACUCCUGCCGUAUUAAUGAAAUUGGACACUGAACUGUAAUACCGUAUCAAGGAGUUAUUUAAUUUAUAAAACAUGACUGAACGUUAUUUUUCAUGCCUGUACUACGAGUCGUUAGAAAUAUUCUCCUGACCACUUUUAAACAUCCUGUUCCAUUAAUAAAAUUUUGUUUUCUUCAGGGCAUUGUACCUUAAACCUAUUGCAGCAUAGCAUUUGUCUCUUUCUUUGAUUUUCGAUUUAAAACAUAAAAUGUUAACUCAUGUCUCCGUUCACCACUGAUUUUCAUGUGAUGACCAACACAAUAUGCCUGUCAAACAUUUUUAUGAUGUCACAUUCACAAUUUGACGUUACUGUCGUCACGCUUAUACUUCACAUUCAUAUUCACCGAAUUUAAGAAUAGGUAUCUUGAAAAAAAGGUAAGUGGCAAGUAAUCUGUUGGUACAUGUAAAAUAGAAAAAGAGAUAAAAUCGGGUCGGAUGGCGUCACAUGAUGUUGCCAAAGGGAUUAACAUUUUUUAUUAUUUAUCAAAAAAAUAUAAUUUUGUAACAUCAAUUCAUUAUUCCCUAAUCUACAUUAUGUAGCAGUUACAUUCAUUUUUGAUGAUACACGAAGAAAUGAGAGCACUUGUUUUUAACACUCCUUGUAGUUUUAUGUUCCGGAACAAAAUACUUUUUCUAAGUUAGACUUUAAUUUUCUAAUAUCAUAUAUAUCUUGGACAUGUGUCGAUGUAUGUUGAGAAAAUUGUU